ACGGUUGUGACUUGGUUUUUGGAUUCACCAUACUGUAUCUCAUAUACCACUUUGAAAGGCCAAGAUGGUUCAUCGACUUUUUGCAACUAUCACUCAUGAAAUGACAUACAGAGCCAAGAGGAGAAGUCAAAGGCGCAUGAACUUUCACAGAAGAAGACAGUGAAAUCUAUGAGAUUGAAAUCAGCAAGUAUCAAGCAACCGAGAGAUCAGAGAGCCAUUAGUGUCUGCUUGGUAAUGCAAAUUAUCAUUAUCAUCAUGUUCAUUAGUAGUAUCUGUUUAUGUAUUUAUCUCGCCUCUGGCAAGACAUAUACUGUAUAAGCAACUUAUAAUUAUACAGUUCUAAAUAAAUUUUACAUCGGUGUUUUCCGUCCA